GUGCAGCAGGCGCGAAAACUUUACAAUGCGGGAAACCGUGAUAAGGGGACACCGAGUGUCAGCAUCAUAUGCUGGCUGUCCAGGUGUGUAAAAUACACCUGUUAGCAAGGGCCGGGCAAGACCGGUGCCAGCCGCCGCGGUAACACCGGCGGCCCGAGUGGUGAUCGUGAUUAUUGGGUCUAAAGGGUCCGUAGCCGGUUUGGUCAGUCCUCCGGGAAAUCUGAUGGCUCAACCAUUAGGCUUUCGGGGGAUACUGCCAGGCUUGGAACCGGGAGAGGUAAGAGGUACUACAGGGGUAGGAGUGAAAUCUUGUAAUCCCUGUGGGACCACCUGUGGCGAAGGCGUCUUACCAGAACGGGUUCGACGGUGAGGGACGAAAGCUGGGGGCACGAACCGGAUUAGAUACCCGGGUAGUCC
rnacentral:rRNA from 1 species